AGUAACGGCGAGUGAAGCGGGAACAGCUCAAAUUUGAAAUCUGGCCUUCGGGUCCGAAUUGUAAUUUGCAGAGGAUGCUUUUGGUUAGGUACUUUCCGAGUUCCCUGGAACGGGACGCCUUAGAGGGUGAGAGCCCCGUACGGUUGGAUACCGAGCCUUUGUAAAGCUCCUUCGACGAGUCGAGUAGUUUGGGAAUGCUGCUCUAAAUGGGAGGUAAAUUUCUUCUAAAGCUAAAUACUGGCCAGAGACCGAUAGCGCACAAGUAGAGUGAUCGAAAGAUGAAAAGCACUUUGAAAAGAGGGUUAAAUAGCACGUGAAAUUGUUGAAAGGGAAGCGUUUAUGACCAGACUUUUUCCAGGCGAAUCAUCCGGUGUUCUCGCCGGUGCACUUCGUCUGGUUGAGGCCAGCAUCGGUUUCCGUGGGGGGAUAAAAGCGGUGGGAAUGUGACUCCUCCGGGAGUGUUAUAGCCCGCCGUAUAAUACCUCCAUGGGGACCGAGGUUCGCGCUCUGCAAGGAUGCUGGCGUAAUGGUCAUCAACGACCCGUCUUGAAACACGGACCAAGGAGUCGAACAUUUGUGCGAGUGUUUGGGUGUUAAACCCUCACGCGUAAUGAAAGUGAACGGAGGUGAGAGCCCUUACGGGUGCAUCAUCGACCGAUCCUGAUGUUUUCGGAUGGAUUUGAGUAAGAGCAUAACUGUUCGGACCCGAAAGAUGGUGAACUAUGCGUGGAUAGGGUGAAGCCAGAGGAAACUCUGGUGGAGGCUCGCAGCGGUUCUGACGUGCAAAUCGAUCGUCAAAUCUGCGCAUGGGG
rnacentral:rRNA from 1 species